GACGAACGCUGGCGGCGUGCUUAACACAUGCAAGUCGAACGGAGUUCCUUGGAUAGAGGCUUCGGCCAAUUGAAUUGGAACUUAGUGGCGGACUGGUGAGUAACGCGUGAGGAACCUGCCUUUCAGAGGGGGACAACAGUUGGAAACGACUGCUAAUACCGCAUAACAUGUGACUGUGGCAUCACAGACACAUCAAAGAUUUAUCGCUGAAAGAUGGGCUCGCGUUGGAUUAGAUAGUUGGUGAGGUAACGGCUCACCAAGUCGACGAUCGUUAGCCGGACUGAGAGGUUGAACGGCCACAUUGGGACUGAGACACGGCCCAGACUCCUACGGGAGGCAGCAGUGAGGAAUAUUGGGCAAUGGGCGCAAGCCUGACCCAGCAAUGCCGCGUGAAGGAAGACGGUUUUCGGAUUGUAAACUUCUUUUAAGAGGGACGAUAAUGACGGUACCUCUUGAAUAAGCCACGGCUAACUACGUG
rnacentral:rRNA from 1 species